CGCCUUGUAGCUCAGUGAUAGAGCGCCUGGUUCUGACCCAGGAGGUCGCUGAUUUGAGUCCAGCCGGGGCUGCCA
rnacentral:tRNA from 1 species